UACGUAGGGGGCGAGCGUUAUCCGGAAUACUGGGCGUAAAGCGCACGCAGGCGGUUCGCCAAGUUUGGAGUGACAGUUGUCGGCUCAACCGACAAAGGACUUCAAAAACUGGUGAACUUGAGGACGAGAGAGGAACAUGGAACUCCAGGUGUAGUAGUGAAAUGCGUAGAUAUCUGGAGGAAUACCAAAGGCGAAGGCAGUGUCCUGGCUGGCAUCUGACGCUGGAGGCGCGAAAGCUAGGGGAGCGAACAGG
rnacentral:rRNA from 1 species